AUGUGUAUCUCUGGUUGUUGCUUUAUAUAUAAAGUGGGUGUGGAGGCUGGGAAUGUGGUGUGGAGGCUGGGAAUGUGGUGGCUAGGGGUUGCUGUAAGCCAAACAGAAGUGGUGAAGUUGUUUCUCAAACAAAAGAGAGUUGUUGCAGUUGUGGUAGCUUUAUUUUUUUGUGAAGAAGGGUCCCUAUAUAUUAUAAACUUCACCAGUAGUACAAAGCACUCCCUACAUAGUAAAAAUGACAUUGAGGUCCUUGGACCACUACCGCCAGCAGAACAAGCCGUCCACGCGCUGCUGUCGCUCUUCCUCUACCGGUGUCGGCCUGACCUUGUCGAUGACAGUUGGGAAGUCUUCGUGCAUGUGUCCUAA
rnacentral:rRNA from 1 species